UCGCUGUUGGCGAUAUACUGUCAGCGGCCAAGCGAAAGUAUUAAGUGAUGCACCUGGGGAGUACGCCGGCAACGGUGAAACUCAAAGGAAUUGACGGGGGCCCGCACAAGCGGUGGAGCAUGUGGUUUAAUUCGAUGAUACGCGAGGAACCUUACCAGGGCUUAAAUGUAGUAUGACCGGCUUAGAAAUAGGCCUUCUCUUCGGAGCAGAUUACAAGGUGCUGCAUGGUUGUCGUCAGCUCGUGCCGUGAGGUGUUAGGUUAAGUCCUGCAACGAGCGCAACCCCUAUUCUUAGUUGCCAGCGGUUCGGCCGGGGACUCUAAGAAGACUGCCAGCGCAAGCUGAGAGGAAGGUGGGGAUGACGUCAAAUCAUCACGGCCCUUACGUCCUGGGCUACACACGUGCUACAAUGGUAGAGACAGAGGGCAGCCACCUGGUGACAGGGAGCGAAUCCUUAAACUCUAUCUCAGUUCGGAUCGAAGUCUGCAACUCGACUUCGUGAAGCUGGAAUCGCUAGUAAUCGCGCAUCAGCCAUGGCGCGGUGAAUACGUUCCCGGGCCUUGUACACACCGCCCGUCAAGCCAUGGAAGCUGGGGGCACCUGAAGUCGGUAACCGUAAGGAGCCGCCUAGGGUGAAACUGGUAACUAGGGCU
rnacentral:rRNA from 1 species